GGGCGCGUAGCUCAGUUGGUAGAGCAAGGGACUCUUAAUCCCUAGGUCCGGGGUUCGAGCCCCCGCGCGCUCACCA
rnacentral:tRNA from 1 species